UACGUAGGGCGCAAGCGUUGUCCGGAAUUAUUGGGCGUAAAGAGCUCGUAGGCGGCCUGUUGCGUCCGCUGUGAAAUCCCGGGGCUCAACCCCGGCCUGCAGUGGAUACGGGCUGGCUAGAGGCAGGCAGGGGAGAACGGAAUUCCUGGUGUAGGCGGUGGAAAUGCGUAGAUAUCAAGAGGAAUACCUGAGGUGAAGACGGGUGCUAGGCUGACACUGACGCUGAGGCGCGAAAGCCAGGGAGCAAACGGG
rnacentral:rRNA from 1 species